rnacentral:tRNA from 1 species
GCUUUUAUAGCUUAGUUGGUUAGAGCACCUGUUUAGUAAGUGGGAGGUCUUGAGUUUAACUCUUAACAAUAAUG